rnacentral:rRNA from 1 species
UGGGGAAUAUUGCACAAUGGGCGCAAGCCUGAUGCAGCCAUGCCGCGUGUAUGAAGAAGGCCUUCGGGUUGUAAAGUACUUUCAGCGGGGAGGAAGGGAGUAAAGUUAAUACCCUUACUCAUUGACGUUACCCGCAGAAGAAGCACCGGCUAACUCCGUGCCAGCAGCCGCGGUAAUACGGAGGGUGCAAGCGUUAAUCGGAAUUACUGGGCGUAAAGCGCACGCAGGCGGUUUGUUAAGUCAGAUGUGAAAUCCCCGGGCUCAACCUGGGAACUGCAUCUGAUACUGGCAAGCUUGAGUCUCGUAGAGGGGGGUAGAAUUCCAGGUGUAGCGGUGAAAUGCGUAGAGAUCUGGAGGAAUACCGGUGGCGAAGGCGGCCCCCUGGACGAAGACUGACGCUCAGGUGCGAAAGCGUGGGGAGCAAACA